rnacentral:rRNA from 1 species
GACGAACGCUGGCGGCGUGCCUAAUACAUGCAAGUAGAACGCUGAAGGAGGAGCUUGCUUCUCUGGAUGAGUUGCGAACGGGUGAGUAACGCGUAGGUAACCUGCCUGGUAGCGGGGGAUAACUAUUGGAAACGAUAGCUAAUACCGCAUAAGAGUAGAUGUUGCAUGACAUUUACUUAAAAGGUGCAAUUGCAUCACUACCAGAUGGACCUGCGUUGUAUUAGCUAGUUGGUGAGGUAACGGCUCACCAAGGCAACGAUACAUAGCCGACCUGAGAGGGUGAUCGGCCACACUGGGACUGAGACACGGCCCAGACUCCUACGGGAGGCAGCAGUAGGGAAUCUUCGGCAAUAGACGGAAGUCUGACCGAGCAACGCCGCGUGAGUGAAGAAGGUUGUCGGAUCGUAAAGCUCUGUUGUAAGAGAAGAACGAGUGUGAGAGUGGAAAGUUCACACUGUGACGGUAUCUUACCAGAAAGGGACGGCUAACUACGUG